rnacentral:rRNA from 1 species
ACGGAGGGUGCAAGCGUUAUCCGGAAUCACUGGGUUUAAAGGGUGCGUAGGCGGUCUUGUAAGUCAGUCGUGAAAUCGCUGGGCUCAACCCAUGCAAUUGCGAUUGAUACUGCGAGACUUGAAUGGGGUUUAGGCAGGCGGAAUGUGGCAUGUAGCGGUGAAAUGCAUAGAUAUGCCAUAGAACACCGAUUGCGAAGGCAGCCUGCUGGGCCUUUAUUGACGCUGAGGCACGAAAGCGUGGGGAGCAAACAGGAUUAGAUACCCUGGUAGUCCACGCCCUAAACGAUGUUUACUUGCUGUUUGCCCUUUGGGGUGAGUGGCGUAGCGAAAGCGAUAAGUAAACCACCUGGGGAGUACGCCGGCAACGGUG